rnacentral:rRNA from 1 species
GAGGAUCAAUUGGAGGGCAAGUCUGGUGCCAGCACCCGCGGUAAUUCCAGCUCCAAUAGCGUAUAUUAAAGUUGCUGCGGUUAAAAAGCUUGUAGUUGGAUCUCAGUCUCGAUCGGACGGUCCAUUUCACGAUGGUACUGUCCGAAUCGGACAUUCCGCCGCCUUUCCUAACAUGCUCUUCAUUGAGUGUGGUGGGAGAGUGGUACGUUUACUUUGAAAAAAUUAGAGUGCUCAAAGCAGGCAAGUGCCUGAAUAGUCGUGCAUGGAAUGAUGGAAUAGGGCCUCGGUUCUAUUUUGUUGGUUUCCGGAACUCGAGGUAAUGAUUAAGAGGGACGGACGGGGGCAUUCGUAUUGCGACGUUAGAGGUGAAAUUCUUAGAUCGUCGCAAGACGAACUACUGCGAAAGCAUUUGCCAAGAAUGUUUUCAUUAAUCAAGAACGAAAGUCAGAGGUUCGAAGGCGAUCAGAUACCGCCCUAGUUCUGACCAUAAACGAUGCCAACUGGCGAUCCGUCGGUGUUAAUUCCAAUGACCCGGCGGGCAGCUUCCGGGAAACCAAAGUGUUUGAGUUCCGGGGGAAGUAUGGUUGCAAAGCUGGAACUUAAAGGAAUUGACGGAAGGGCACCACCAGGAGUGGAGCCUGUGGCUUAAUUUGACUCAACACGGGAAA